UACGAAGGGAGCGAGCGUUGUUCGGAAUCACUGGGCUUAAAGCGUGCGUAGGCGGAUUGGUAAGUAAGAAGUGAAAAGCCCAGGGCUUAACCCCUGGAACUGCUUUUUUUAGACUGCCUGUCUGGAAUUCGGUAGAGGUUGGUGGAACUCCUAGUGUAGAGGUGAAAUUCGCAGAUAUUAGGAAAGAACACCGGUGGCGAAGGCGACCAACUGGACCGAUAUUGACGCUGAGGCACGAAAGCGUGGGUAGCAAACAGG
rnacentral:rRNA from 1 species